rnacentral:rRNA from 1 species
UACGUAGGGGGCAAGCGUUGUCCGGAUUUAUUGGGCGUAAAGAGCGUGUAGGCGGCCUGAAAGGUCAGCUGUGAAAACUCGAGGCUCAACCUCGAGACGUCGGUUGAAACCAUCUGGCUAGAGUCCGGAAGAGGAGUGUGGAAUUCCCGGUGUAGCGGUGAAAUGCGCAGAUAUCGUAAGGAAGACCAGUGGCGAAGGCGGGUCUCUGGACAGUUCCUGACGCUGAGGCACGAAGGUCAGGGGAGCAAACGGG